UACGUAGGGGGCAAGCGUUGUCCGGAUUUAUUGGGCGUAAAGAGCUCGUAGGUGGUUCGGUAAGUCGGAUGUGAAAUCUCCAGGCUCAACCUGGAGGGGUCAUUCGAUACUGCCGUGACUAGAGUUCGGUAGGGGAGUGUGGAAUUCCUGGUGGAGCGGUGGAAUGCGCAGAUAUCAGGAGGAACACCAAUGGCGAAGGCAGCACUCUGGUACGUGACUGACGCUGAGACGCGAAAGCGUGGGGGAGCAAACAGG
rnacentral:rRNA from 1 species